rnacentral:rRNA from 1 species
UAGUUUGAUAUUGGCUACCAUAUUGGCUAUAGUAAAAUAUAAUACAUGCAAUCUACUGAUGCCCCGUGAAAUUACAAACAAACUAAAAGAUCCUCAAACCAAGAUAAGAAGAAUCCGUUAUCUUACUUCACGCCUGCAGUAAAGAAUUUUGCUUUAAAUAUAACAUAUAUUACAGGUAUUACAUCAAGUGUUGACAAAAUUCGUGCCAGCCGUCGCGGUUAAACGAUAAACACAUGUCAAUAUACUCCGGAACUACAAUGAUAGAUAUUAAUAAUUACAAUAGUACAAUAUAAAUAAUAAAAUAAAACUCAUCACUAUCUUACAAAAUAAAAAAACGACCAAAAACAAGGAUUAGAUACCCUUCUAUCCCUUUCCUCCUCUCUUCCGGGCACUACGAACUCCCGUUUAAAACCCAAACCACUUGGCGGCACUUUACGCUAUUAGGGGAAUCUGUCCUAUAACUCGUCAACCCACGUUAAACCCUUCUUAUUAUAGAUUUCAGCUUGUAUACCGCCGUCGUAAGCCCGCAUUAUACCCAAAUCGCUGGCACUCCAGGAGAGGCCCCCCUCUGACGUCAGGUCAUUGUGCAGCCUAUUAAUAAGUUGAGAUGGAUUACAUUAAAUAUAAAACAGGCUAACAGACACUACCCUCUGUUAUAAUACGGACUUAACAGUAAAUUGUUAAUAAUAUGAACCAUUGAAUGUGCAAUUUAAAGUGUGCACAAAUCGCCCGUCACUCUCACCGAAAGGCGAGAUAAGUCGUAACAUAGUAGGCGUAACUGAAGUUGUGCCUU